CAGAGUUGCAAAACUCCCACAAACCAUCGCGAAUCUUACCCGUACGGUUGCCUCGGCGCUGGCGGUCCGGAAGGCCCUCGGGCCCCCCGGAUCCUCGGGUCUCCCGCUCGCGGGAGGCUGCCCGCCGGAGUGCCGAAACCAAACUCUUGAUAUUUUAUGUCUCUCUGAGUAAGCUUUUAAGUAAGUCA
rnacentral:misc_RNA from 1 species